GUAAGAGAAACACACUAAAACUACAACAAAUGUUUAUAUGAAUAUGUUAGGGGUAUCAUAGUUAUUUUUUAAAAAUGUGUUGCGUUUGCAGAAUAUUUGUUAUGAGUAAGUUAGCAUGUUCUCUACCACUGGCUGCUAGCUAACUAGCUUUUUAAAAACUACAUUUAAAACUCUUGCUUCCAUGGAAAGGGACAAAUGAGCUGGCUUGGACAGUUUCACCACUACCAUGUGAGUUCUCUUCUUUUCCCUUACAGCUAAGACUACAGGGAGCACACAAAACACACACAUACACCUAGUAUUUCACUGUAAUUCUUUACCUUGUAUUUCUAACAGUUUAGCAGAAGGCCACCACACCACAUUAGUUGUUAAGUGCAUGAGAAAACAAUACAUUUACUAAUUCAUCUGUUUCUGAUUCUUUGUCUCAUUUGGAGCUCCAUUAGUCCAGUAGUCUACCAGUUAAAGUUAAGACAGAGCCUGUAAACAACAGUGAGACUGACUACCACAGAAGGCAGCACUGGACAGCCAUGCAGGCGAAGGAAUCAUCUUUUAUACAGUGCUAGUGAAAUGGACAAACACGUCAGCUGUUGCUUCAUUGGAUAAUAAAAUUGCCAUGCAAUCAUA